UACGUAGGGUGCGAGCGUUAAUCGGAGUUACUGGGCGUAAAGCGUGCGCAGGCGGCGGCCCAAGUCGGAUGUGAAAUCCCCAGGCUUAACCUGGGAACUGCAUCCGAUACUGGAUGGCUUGAAUCCGGGAGAGGGAUGCAGAAUUCCAGGUGUAGCGGUGAAAUGCGUAGAUAUCUGGAGGAAUACCGGUGGCGAAGGCGGCAUCCUGGACCGGCAUUGACGCUGAGUGAGCGAAAGCCAGGGGAGCAAACGGG
rnacentral:rRNA from 1 species